GAUGAACGCUGGCGGCGUGCCUAAUACAUGCAAGUCGAGCGAACAGACGAGGAGCUUGCUCCUUUGACGUUAGCGGCGGACGGGUGAGUAACACGUGGGUAACCUACCUAUAAGACUGGGAUAACUUCGGGAAACCGGAGCUAAUACCGGAUAAUAUUUCGAACCGCAUGGUUCGAUAGUGAAAGAUGGCUUUGCUAUCACUUAUAGAUGGACCUGCGCCGUAUUAGCUAGUUGGUAAGGUAACGGCUUACCAAGGCAACGAUACGUAGCCGACCUGAGAGGGUGAUCGGCCACACUGGAACUGAGACACGGUCCAGACUCCUACGGGAGGCAGCAGUAGGGAAUCUUCCGCAAUGGGCGAAAGCCUGACGGAGCAACGCCGCGUGAGUGAUGAAGGUCUUCGGAUCGUAAAACUCUGUUAUUAGGGAAGAACAAACGUGUAAGUAACUGUGCACGUCUUGACGGUACCUAAUCAGAAAGCCACGGCUAACUACGUGCCAGCAGCCGCGGUAAUACGUAGGUGGCAAGCGUUAUCCGGAAUUAUUGGGCGUAAAGCGCGCGUAGGCGGUUUUUUAAGUCUGAUGUGAAAGCCCACGGCUCAACCGUGGAGGGUCAUUGGAAACUGGAAAACUUGAGUGCAGAAGAGGAAAGUGGAAUUCCAUGUGUAGCGGUGAAAUGCGCAGAGAUAUGGAGGAACACCAGUGGCGAAGGCGACUUUCUGGUCUGUAACUGACGCUGAUGUGCGAAAGCGUGGGGAUCAAACAGGAUUAGAUACCCUGGUAGUCCGCGCCGUAAACGAUGAGUGCUAAGUGUUAGGGGGUUUCCGCCCCUUAGUGCUGCAGCUAACGCAUUAAGCACUCCGCCUGGGGAGUACGACCGCAAGGUUGAAACUCAGAGGAAUUGACGGGGACCCGCACAAGCGGUGGAGCAUGUGGUUUAAUUCGAAGCAACGCGAAGAACCUUACCAAAUCUUGACAUCCUUUGACCCUUCUAGAGAUAGAAGCUUCCCCUUCGGGGGACAAAGUGACAGGUGGUGCAUGGUUGUCGUCAGCUCGUGUCGUGAGAUGUUGGGUUAAGUCCCGCAACGAGCGCAACCCUUAAGCUUAGUUGCCAUCAUUAAGUUGGGCACUCUAAGUUGACUGCCGGUGACAAACCGGAGGAAGGUGGGGAUGACGUCAAAUCAUCAUGCCCCUUAUGAUUUGGGCUACACACGUGCUACAAUGGACAAUACAAAGGGCAGCGAAACCGCGAGGUCAAGCAAAUCCCAUAAAGUUGUUCUCAGUUCGGAUUGUAGUCUGCAACUCGACUACAUGAAGCUGGAAUCGCUAGUAAUCGUAGAUCAGCAUGCUACGGUGAAUACGUUCCCGGGUCUUGUACACACCGCCCGUCACACCACGAGAGUUUGUAACACCCGAAGCCGGUGGAGUAACCAUUUGGAGCUAGCCGUCGAAGGUGGGACAAAUGAUCGGGGUGAAGUCGUAACAAGGUAGCCGUAUCGGAAGG
rnacentral:rRNA from 1 species